CCCACUUUGUUGUUUUGCCUUCCUACCCUGUGAGAGCAAGCUGUUUGUCACUCUCUAGUGAUAAAUGCCGUCUGAAGUGAGGUCUGGUUCUCCUGGUCAAAGCCCACGGACCUCUGAGGAGAGGAGGCAGCCUUCACUAGCCGCCAGUGAGGCCCCGAGGCUGCAGAGCUGCAGGCGAUGGUGCCCCGUGGAUGUGUGGAGAGGCACCGAAGGGUCCAAGUCCUACAAACACUCGCUUAGAGACCCCGUGGCCCGGGUUCUCUGGGAGCGCAGUGUUGAGAGGCGCCGUCUUCCGGAUGGGGACGCACCAAGGGGAUGGGAAGUGGAAUCUGCCCUCAUACGUCCAGGGGCCCCUCUGGAUGUGGUACCCAGGACCAGCCACAGUGAUGAGAAUUCCCGGAUGCCCACGCUUACCACCAGCUUUUACCAGGAGGCUUUGGAGUUUCAGGACUGCCUAGGUCACCUUUGGAGUUCAGAGCAGGGAUGGCCAUACACGAGUUCAGGGCGGCUCUAUCCGCCGACAUCUCCCUUGUGUGUUCCCGUGAGGCUGGAGGAGGCUGCAGGAACGCAGAAGUCUACCGCCAGCUUUCCAGCAGGACACGGUCUACUGCUAACUGAGAGAGACAGGGAGCGAGAGGCCAGGACGGAAUUACAUCCUGCUCGGACGCUACCUCCCGGCAGUCUCUGA
ensembl:lncRNA